rnacentral:lncRNA from 1 species
CAAGCUGUACAAUAGGGCAACAUCGCAAUUAGCCAACUAAUAUCAAUGCCACACAAGGCAGGAAUUAACUCGGCAAGUAAACUAUGUAGUUCAAUACUAAAUGGUUGUAUGCUCUGGUUAGUUCAAACCCCCAGACCCCAGUAUUCAGAUUUGAUUCAGUUGCAGACUACUUGUAUACAAUUGACACCGGGUGGAACAGAACAACAUAACUAGAUAAACUAGCACACCCAGGUCAACACCAGC